rnacentral:rRNA from 1 species
GACGAACUCUGGCGGCGUGCCUAAUACAUGCAAGUAGAACGCUGAAGGAGGAGCUUGCUUCUCUGGAUGAGUUGCGAACGGGUGAGUAACGCGUAGGUAACCUGCCUGGUAGCGGGGGAUAACUAUUGGAAACGAUAGCUAAUACCGCAUAAUAGUAGAUGUCGCAUGACAUUUGCUUAAAAGGUGCAAUUGCAUCACUACCAGAUGGACCUGCGUUGUAUUAGCUAGUUGGUGAGGUAACGGCUCACCAAGGCAACGAUACAUAGCCGACCUGAGAGGGUGAUCGGCCACACUGGGACUGAGACACGGCCCAGACUCCUACGGGAGGCAGCAGUAGGGAAUCUUCGGCAAUGGACGGAAGUCUGACCGAGCAACGCCGCGUGAGUGAAGAAGGUUUUCGGAUCGUAAAGCUCUGUUGUAAGAGAAGAACGAGUGUGAGAGUGGAAAGUUCACACUGUGACGGUAUCUUACCAGAAAGGGACGGCUAACUACGUG